rnacentral:rRNA from 1 species
AAAAUUACGCUAAUACCGCAUACGAUCUAAGGAUGAAAGCGGGGGAUCGCAAGACCUCGCGCGAUUGGAGCGGCCGAUAUCAGAUUAGGUAGUUGGUGAGGUAAAGGCUCACCAAGCCAACGAUCUGUAGCUGGUCUGAGAGGACGACCAGCCACACUGGAACUGAGACACGGUCCAGACUCCUACGGGAGGCAGCAGUGGGGAAUUUUGGACAAUGGACGCAAGUCUGAUCCAGCCAUUCCGCGUGCAGGACGAAGGCCUUCGGGUUGUAAACUGCUUUUGUACAGAACGAAAAGGUUUCUAUUAAUACUAGGGGCUCAUGACGGUACUGUAAGAAUAAGCACCGGCUAACUACGUGCCAGCAGCCGCGGUAAUACGUAGGGUGCAAGCGUUAAUCGGAAUUACUGGGCGUAAAGCGUGCGCAGGCGGUUAUGUAAGACAGAUGUGAAAUCCCCGGGCUCAACCUGGGAACUGCAUUUGUGACUGCAUAGCUGGAGUGCGGCAGAGGGGGAUGGAAUUCCGCGUGUAGCAGUGAAAUGCGUAGAUAUGCGGAGGAACACCGAUGGCGAAGGCAAUCCCCUGGGCCUGCACUGACGCUCAUGCACGAAAGCGUGGGGAGCAAACAGGAUUAGAUACCCUGGUAGUCCACGCCCUAAACGAUGU